GUACACGGUGGAUGCCCUGGCAGUCAGAGGCGAUGAAGGACGUGCUAAUCUGCGAAAAGCGCCGGUAAGGUGAUAUGAACCGUUAUAACCGGCGAUGUCCGAAUGGGGAAACCCAGUGUGACUCGUCACACUAUCAUUAACUGAAUCCAUAGGUUAAUGAGGCGAACCGGGGGAACUGAAACAUCUAAGUACCCCGAGGAAAAGAAAUCAACCGAGAUUCCCCCAGUAGCGGCGAGCGAACGGGGAGGAGCCCAGAGCCUGAAUCAGCAUGUGUGUUAGUGGAAGCGUCUGGA
rnacentral:rRNA from 1 species